UGGGGAAUAUUGCACAAUGGGGGAAACCCUGAUGCAGCGACGCCGCGUGAGCGAAGAAGGUUUUCGAAUCGUAAAGCUCUGUCCUAUGAGAAGAUAAUGACGGUAUCAUAGGAGGAAGCCCCGGCUAAAUACGUGCCAGCAGCCGCGGUAAUACGUAUGGGGCGAGCGUUGUCCGGAAUUAUUGGGCGUAAAGGGUACGUAGGCGGUCUAUUAAGUCAGGUGUGAAAGCGUGAGGCUUAACCUCAUUAAGCACUUGAAACUGAUAGACUUGAGUGAAGGAGAGGAAAGUGGAAUUCCUAGUGUAGCGGUGAAAUGCGUAGAUAUUAGGAGGAAUACCGGUGGCGAAGGCGGCUAUCUGGACAGUAACUGACGCUGAGGCGCGAAAGCGUGGGGAGCAAACAGG
rnacentral:rRNA from 1 species